rnacentral:tRNA from 1 species
GGGGGUAGCUCAGUGGCAGAGCGCGUGCCUAGCAUGCACAGGGUCCUGGGUUCAAUCCCCAGGGCCUCCG